rnacentral:rRNA from 1 species
GACGAACGCUGGCGGCGUGCUUAACACAUGCAAGUCGAGCGGUAAGGCCCUUUCGGGGGUACACGAGCGGCGAACGGGUGAGUAACACGUGGGUGACCUGCCCUCCAGCUCUGGGAUAAGCCUGGGAAACCGGGUACUAAUACUGGAUAUGACUCCAUGACGCAUGUUGUGGGGUGGAAAGCCUUGUGCGGCUGAGGAUGGGCCCGCGGCCUAUCAGCUUGUUGGUGGGGUGAGGCCUACCAAGGCGACGACGGGUAGCCGGCCUGAGAGGGCGACCGGCCACACUGGGA